AGCGGCGGACGGGUGAGUAACGCGUGGGUAACCUACCCUAAAGCUCGGGAUAACAGUGGGAAACCGCUGCUAAUAUCGGAUGACUUUAACCUAUGGCAUCAUGGGUUAAAGAAAGAUUUAUCGCUUUAGGAUGGGCCCGCGUCCCAUUAGCUAGUUGGUGAGGUAACGGCUCACCAAGGCGACGAUGGGUAGCCGGCCUGAGAGGGUGUACGGCCACACUGGGACUGAGACACGGCCCAGACUCCUACGGGAGGCAGCAGUAGGGAAUAUUGCGCAAUGGACGGAAGUCUGACGCAGCGACGCCGCGUGAGCGAUGAAGGCCUUCGGGUCGUAAAGCUCUGUCCUUGGGGAAGAAGGUCUUCGGACUUGACGGUACCC
rnacentral:rRNA from 1 species